rnacentral:rRNA from 1 species
CCGACGGUGAGGGAUGAAAGCUGGGGGAGCAAACCGGAUUAGAUACCCGGGUAGUCCCAGCUGUAAACGAUGCGCGUUAGGUGUGUCAGUGACCACGUGUCACUGAUGUGCCGAAGGGAAACCGUGAAACGCGCCGCCUGGGGAGUACGGUCGCAAGGCUGGAACUUAAAGGAAUUGGCGGGGGAGCACCACAACGGGUGGAGCCUGCGGUUUAAUCGGACUCAACGCCGGAAAUCUCACCGGAUAA